UAAAGGCAGAGAAAUUAGAGAUGAAGAAUGGGAGCUGGAGAAGAGGCAACUCAGUACCAAGUACUGAGGCAGCUGGGAGUUGAGGAUUCAGAUGUUACCAUAUAACCAAGAAGCCAGUGACGGCCCAGGGAGGUGCCAGGAAUAAAGACCAGGAUAGGCUGGAUUUUGGACUCAGACUCAAAAGCCAUCAAGAAAAAUCAGGAUGGAAGUGCUAGAGUAACAUUGUCGCCACAUUUCUGACUGCUGUGAGAUCACCAUGUUGUUAUGCAUGAAGAUGCUGCUUCAUUCCUCUGGGCUCCAGAAGGAACUCUUCCCUUGGCCACACCUUCCCAAACAUGUGGUGUACCUUCACGGCCACUCCAGCAAAGCGCAGCUGCUGCUCCUUACCUUGGACGAAGGGUAUCUCCUCACAGCCACCUCUCCUGACCUUGAACAUGGAG
ensembl:lncRNA